GGAGAUUCUCUCGUGACGCCUACAUGCACCUCGUAGUUUGGCCAGUUAGCGGCGAAAAGAAAGGGCAGGGACGAGAUGCGGAUGCAUUAGAAAACAGAGGAAGUAGAUGCGGAUGAGUUUAUUUAUUUAUUGAGAGCAAAUCACAGCGCGACAAGUGGCAGUCCAGAGCUUGGACCGGUUAGCACUGGCAUUUUUGCAAUAAACCCCUGCCAUUCCGUCGAUUUAACCCGCACUGGUUAGUGCUCAUCUUCUCCACCGCAGAUUUGCUCGUCGGGGUGUUCAUCGAUGCCAUUCUCGAGCUGCGGGGGGUCCCGGCGAGGACGCGGAUCUGGUGCGUUGUCGCCUGGUUGUUCAACCCCUUCACCUUCACCAUCGGCACCAAAGGGAACUGCGAGCCCAUCAUCUGCGCCGCCAUGCUCUGGAUCCUCAUCUGCUUGAUGAAGGGUGUAGAGUACUGGAAGCAGCAUUCUUGUAUGGGCUGAUUGUGCACGUCAGAAUAAUCAUUUGAGAUAGCAGUCACUUGAGUGUGUAAACUCAAGCUCCUUUUUGCUGCUGGCUAGAGUAGUUACUGCUAUCCUGGAGUUGAGCAAUACUUGAGCACUCAGAUGCGAUGAAAAAUUAGAUAUGCGAAAUGGGCAGUAAAUAACUCUUUACUGUAAUUUGUUUUCUUCCAAAUAAUUCCAGCACCAACACUACUAGGGAAAACCCUAGCAGUAGCGCUCGUUUUGUGCUCA